rnacentral:lncRNA from 1 species
UCAUAAAAAUAAAAAUAGAAAUUAAAGGCUUUUGAAUUUGAGACAUCCUGAGCUACAAGGCUCAUUGACAUUGAAAUUAUAGAAAAAAAACAUAUAUGGUGGUCGAUAGAACACAUGCAAAACAAAGAAGAAACGAAAUAUAAAGAACUUGGAAAAUAGAACAAUAAACAACAAAGUGCUACGUAACAUAUAGGGUUUCCAUUUAGAUAGCUUGAUCAAUAUCUGUUCUUCCUUCACAGAUCUUUCUUUCUUUGUCUUUUUUUAGGCUCAACUUGCACUUCUCACUGUCAUUUUGUACCCACCUUGGUCUUCCCUGUGCAAGGUAACGACAUCACCAGCGUUGAGCCUCAGAUGGCGAGCGAUUCCAAUCCAGCCUUUAGUAAAUGCAAGCCUUCCUGAUCUGCAGGAGCAGUGAACAUCAACUUUCAUUCCAGCUUGCUCAAACAUGAUUGGAAUCACGUUUUCCCGUGCGCCUUGGAAAGGUGGCAAGGCUUCUCUCCUCGUAUCGUUCGGUAACUCCAAAUGUCUCUCAAUGUCAACAGAUAUGAGUUUCUUCAUGAAGAUCUCCAUAGGUUAUAAUAUUUGUU